UAUCUCCGAAACAUGUUGCUGAUCUAAUUAUGCUAGGCUUGAGCUGUUUAAUUUGUAUAUUUCUUCCUUCUUCCACUUUAUUUAGAAAUUUGUUGGGAAUUCAUACAUUAAUUGUAGUUGAAGCACGCGUUCUUGCAUGGUAUCUGGAUUCAGACUCUUUCACUAAUGCAUUCUAUCUUGUUGAAUUGAUUCAUGAAUCUGUUAGUUCUACGGCCUUUCUCGACCCAAAAUUUAAAGGCAUGUUCAACUUCAAUACACCCCCUUCUAUAAUUUAUGGUUUGAUUUUACUAGUUUUGACCUCUAUGCCUCUAAUCCUAUUUUUCUCUUUGUAAGACUAUCACCUAAGCUUAUCUUGCUUUAAUUUUUUGUUAUAUUAGUUACUUUGUCCUGAUUAGAUUUUGAAUCUGUUAGUUCCUCAAAUUUGGUUCUUCCCUUUGUUCCACCUACCUGUUAAGUAAUAGAGAAUUAAUGGAUCCAUUCUAGACUCCAUUACACUUCCUUGUUAUGCUUCUGCUUGGUGAUUUACAGAAGAUACUACAUCUGAUUUGUGUUUCAAUUUCAAUUGAUUAUCCGCAAAGUUGGCUAUAGUUCACGAUGGCUGAUAUCAGUCCUAGUACAUCAACAGAUGCCGAUACUGAAGAUAAAAACAGGGUUGAGGAUGCUUUAUCCCAGGGAAUGGAGGCAUUGCAGCAGUCUUUGGCUGAGACUCUCGCAGGGUAUCUUGGACCUUCAGGUUCCUCUGGGAAUGUUUCCAAUUAUAUGGGUCAAAUGGCCAUGGCAAUGGGGAAGCUUGGAACUCUUGAGGGUUUCAUACGGCAGGGAAUUUCAGUUUGAACUUAGCAAGAUACCCUACUGCCUUGCACCCAAGUGUGUAAGAUACUUACAGAGAUACCGUUGGAUAUCUAGAAGACCCACCGUUCAAAUAACUGAAGACUUCCCCAUCAAAUCUACACGCUUUAUUCUAGAUUUACUCGAAAAUGUUGAGAGCAAUGUUGAGAUUAAAGGCUUGGACAAGCACAAAAGCAGAGGCGCCACAUGUACUGAGCACAUGGAAGAAAAUAUCCACUGUUUGAUGAACUGUUGUCUUUUGUUAAUUGCUUAAAGAAAUAUAGAUUAUCAGUUUCACGACCUCUUCCUCUUCCAUCACCUCAGAAUGUCGCUGCUACAAGUAUUAUUCCCAAUACCUCUGCACCAUUGGCACUACUUUAAGAUGACAUUUCUACUACAUGCUACCAUUCUCUUCAGAACGUUGUAUAUCACAACACCUUUGGGGCUGACCUCCACUGCAAAGAAAUGGAAAUGUGGAUGAGUAGCA